rnacentral:rRNA from 1 species
GACGAACGCUGGCGGCGUGCUUAACACAUGCAAGUCGAACGGAAAGGCCCUGCUUUUGUGGGGUGCUCGAGUGGCGAACGGGUGAGUAACACGUGAGUAACCUGCCCUUGACUUUGGGAUAACUUCAGGAAACUGGGGCUAAUACCGGAUAGGAGCUCCUGCUGCAUGGUGGGGGUUGGAAAGUUUCGGCGGUUGGGGAUGGACUCGCGGCUUAUCAGCUUGUUGGUGGGGUAGUGGCUUACCAAGGCUUUGACGGGUAGCCGGCCUGAGAGGGUGACCGGCCACAUUGGGACUGAGAUACGGCCCAGACUCCUAUGGGAGGCAGCAGGGGGGAAUAUUGCACAAGGGGCGGAAGCCUGAUGCAGCAGCGCCGCGUGCGGGAUGACGGCCUUCGGGUUGUAAACCGCUUUCGCCUGUGACGAAGCGUGAGUGACGGUAAUGGGUAAAGAAGCACCGGCUAACUACGUG